GCACAUCAUUAAAAUAUCAACUUUGGCAGAGACGUGGAGCAAGAUGACUGCAUAGAAGUUUCUACUGAUCAUUUCCCACCGCUUCCACGGGAACACCAAGUUUGAUAUCCACACAAAGGGAGCACCUUCAAAGGAAGCAAAAAUCAGAUACAUUCCCAUUGAGGCACGAAAAUGGAUCUAGCCACAGCUCUGAUGAUAUUGCUUUGCCUUUAACAGUACCUCCCAUUAGUCUCUUGCACCAAGAUGCACAUUUUUCAGUUUACAUAGUGGAUUUCAUCAUUCUACUAGAAAGCCUCCACUUUGUUUCUGAUUCAGUUUCAGUUUCCAAACCAGGUGCUUUGUCCCUCACUGACUGUUUUGGAUGACCUCUAGUUUUUCCCCAAGGUUCUAAAUUUAGUUUGGCUUUUAUUUGGCCAUCAUUUUAAUUCCCACUUUUUGUUUUGGUGCUGUUGAUUGUACAAUCCAACCAUCUCUACCUUUCAAUAUUUGCAGGUUUCUUUUUUCCUGUUUGUCUUGAACAUUCUGAUUUUUCCUAACCUUUGAGUCACCUGCCUCUGUUUUACCAUGUCAUUGAAUUAUGGUUUAGUCAAGUGGAAAGACAAGCUCCUGUCACUGCCUAUAGCACUGCCUAGUUUCCUUCCAAUUAUCAAUAAAAUUCUUUGUUAUUAGGUUUCUUCUGUUCCACUAUAAGCUCAAGUAAUUCACAACAAUAAAACAAGACAAAAAUAAUUAACAUUCACGAGAAUAAAG
rnacentral:lncRNA from 10 species